UUCCUUUGCAUGAUUUCAUUGAUGAGAAAUUAAGAAGAUAUUUUUAUUGUUAGAGACGUAAAAGUUUAUUCAUCAUGCAUUUGUAUCAGAUGUCCAAAACAUUUACAUUGUUUUACAUAUUACUUAUAUAUUAUAUUGUAAAACCAGAUUUAUGUGAUUUUAUAUAUGAGAAAUUCAAUAAAUGAUCUUAACAUUGAAGACAGAGACUUUUACUCUUCAUGCAUUUGAUAUAGAUGCUCAGAACUUUUGCAAUUAUUUAUAUAUAUUGUAAAAACAGAUUGUCAGAAAGUUAUUUCAAGAUAACGUAUUGUCAAAACACCUAUAUAAAAAGCAGUCUUCAAGAUAUAAAAAUUUAAAUACAUUUGAGAUGAUAUACUUUACUAUGAUCGCUUCAAUAUUUUAUAAAUUUGAAGUCCUGAUCUUAUAAAUAAUAUAUUUAUGACGAAGAAUUGAAUUUUCCAAGAAAAAAAAAAUAUUGAUAAUAUUAUAUCGUCUGAUUCUGAUUCAGAUGUUGAUAAGUGCAAUAAAGAAUUGUGCACAGAUAUGGAUAUUGGUCAGACUUUAUAAGAAUAGACUAUUAAAAAAGAUAUUGAAAUUGAUAAUGCAGAAGAAAAUAUAAUUGAACGUAAUGAAUGAAAGGAAUAUAUUGGACAGGAAGAAUCAUUUUCUUUUAUUCUAACAACGAGUCUGCUUUAAAGAACUACCUAAUACUAUCAAUCAGUACAAAGUGUUUUCUUUGUUCAUUAGCGAUGAAAUAAUAAAUGUUCUUAAAACAAAUACAUAUACAGAACAAAAA